CGAGUAGAACGGGUAAUCGCUCCUGGUAUAUCCAGGUGAGGAAAGUCCGGGCUUCACAGGGCAGGAUGCCGGAUAACGUCCGGUUGAGGUGACUCACAGGAAAGUGCAACAGAAAGUAUACCGCCUCAGUCUCGUCACUUUGUGGCAGAACCGGGGUAAGGGUGAAAUGGCGAGGUAAGAGCUCACCGCCUGGCUGGUAACAGACAGGGCAUUGUAAACCCCAUCCGAAGCAAGACCAAGCAGGAGUGCUGACGCGGCCCGCUGAGCUCCAGGUAGGUUGCUAGAGCCAUGCAGUAAUGUAUGGUCCAGAUAGAUGAUUACCUCGGAGGGCACACGCCCUCUAUGACAUAACCCGGCUUAUAGUUCUACUCGUUUU
rnacentral:RNase_P_RNA from 2 species